GGCGGCAUGCCUUACACAUGCAAGUCGAACGGCAGCACGGGUGCUUGCACCUGGUGGCGAGUGGCGAACGGGUGAGUAAUACAUCGGAACAUGUCCUGUAGUGGGGGAUAGCCCGGCGAAAGCCGGAUUAAUACCGCAUACGAUCUACGGAUGAAAGCGGGGGACCUUCGGGCCUCGCGCUAUAGGGUUGGCCGAUGGCUGAUUAUCUAGUUGGUGGGGUAAAGGCCUACCAAGGCGACGAUCAGUAGCUGGUCUGAGAGGACGACCAGCCACACUGGGACUGAUACACGGCCCACACUCCUACGGGAGGCAGCAGUGGGGAAUUUUGGACAAUGGGCGAAAGCCUGAUCCAGCAAUGCCGCGUGUGUGAAGAAGGCCUUCGGGUUGUAAAGCACUUUUGUCCGGAAAGAAAUCCUUGGCUCUAAUACUGUCGGGGGAUGACGGUACCGGAAGAAUAGGCACCGGCUAACUACGUGCCAGCACCCGCGGUAAUACAUAAGGUGCGAGCGUUAAUCAGAAUUACUGGGCGUAAAGCGUGCGCAUGCGGUUUGCUAACACCGAUGUGAAAUCCCCGGGCUCAACCUGGGAACUGCAUUGGUGACUGGCAGGCUAGAGUAUGGCAGAGGGGGGUAGAAUUCCACGUGUAGCAGUGAAAUGCGUAGAGAUGUGGAGGAAUACCGAUGGCGAAGGCAGCCCCCUGGGCCAAUACUGACGCUCAUGCACGAAAGCGUGGGGAGCAAACAGGAUUAGAUACCCUGGUAGUCCACGCCCUAAACGAUGUCAACUAGUUGUUGGGGAUUCAUUUCCUUAGUAACGUAGCUAACGCGUGAAGUUGACCGCCUGGGGAGUACGGUCGCAAGAUUAAAACUCAAAGGAAUUGACGGGGACCCGCACAAGCGGUGGAUGAUGUGGAUUAAUUCGAUGCAACGCGAAAAACCUUACCUACCCUUGACAUGGUCGGAAUCCCGCUGAGAGGUGGGAGUGCUCGAAAGAGAACCGGCGCACAGGUGCUGCAUGGCUGUCGUCAGCUCGUGUCGUGAGAUGUUGGGUUAAGUCCCGCAACGAGCGCAACCCUUGUCCUUAGUUGCUACGCAAGAGCACUCUAAGGAGACUGCCGGUGACAAACCGGAGGAAGGUGGGGAUGACGUCAAGUCCUCAUGGCCCUUAUGGGUAGGGCUUCACACGUCAUACAAUGGUCGGAACAGAGGGUUGCCAACCCGCGAGGGGGAGCUAAUCCCAGAAAACCGAUCGUAGUCCGGAUUGCACUCUGCAACUCGAGUGCAUGAAGCUGGAAUCGCUAGUAAUCGCGGAUCAGCAUGCCGCGGUGAAUACGUUCCCGGGUCUUGUACACACCGCCCGUCACACCAUGGGAGUGGGUUUUACCAGAAGUGGCUAGUCAAACCGCAAGGAGGACGGUCACCACGGUAGGACUCAUGACUUGGGUGAAGUCG
rnacentral:rRNA from 1 species